UCCAGCCUGUUCCAACUCCAUUUUCCAAGUUUUUCCUCGUAGGUUUCUUAAGUUAACAUUCUUGUCGAUCUUCCCACUAAAAUUCUUUAUAAAAUCGCGAGGUAUCACCUCCAAGAUAUGAGAAAGAGUCUUCACACUAAAAUCUUAUAGGAUUCAAACAAGAUUUUUCUGAGCACAAGCUUUGAUUCAAGUGUUUUGCAAGUCCAGUUUUUAGCAGCAGUAAGUAGCUUAUAUACUUAUAUUCUCAACAACUUUGCACAUGCAUGUCAUAGUUCUUCUUUUUUCGCUUAAUCAAGGAGAGGAAGCUACAACACAACCAAAAAACAUAGAAGAAACACAGUCAUUUACUUCUAGUAAUCAUGUCUUGCUUUCUCAGUUUUAAAAUUACAUCACAAAGUAUUUUUACUCCUAAGGAAGCUUUUGUCUACUUCAAGCGGUUAGGAUCAGACCGAUUAUUAAGUAGCACAAGAAAUGGUCAAUAUUCAAGCACCAAGAUCACAAAAUUCUAACAGAACGUACUAAGCUCUAUGGACAUUGUGAACAAUUAUAAUGCCAAUUUUUUUCUACUCAACUUCUAACAACAAAUAACACCUAGAUAAUGAAAAAAAGUCGAUUCCUUAAAGUCUUGGUGAUAUAAUAUUUUCUUGUAAGCUGCCAAAUUUCAUACAUAAAUCCGGCCUAGAUAUAACAGAUAGCUACACCGAAGGCAAAAUUUUAGAUGUCAUAUGUACUUUUUAGAAUGUAAGUGACAAAAUUUGCCUUACACAACAUAAAAUUUGUCUUACGUGAACCUAAUUUUAGAUCCAUAACACAACAUAAUGAAUAUGGACAAAUUUAUUCUCAAUUUAAUCUACUCAUACAUGAAUUCAAACCACUUAUGGAUGUAAAACAGCCUAUACUAGAACUAUUGCAAAAUGUAAAAAUUGAAGUAAUAAAAAGAAAAUUUUUUACCAAUUUCUUUGAGUUGUAUUCUGGCAGAUAAAUCUCGAAGAAUCCCGGUAAAUCCAGCAAAUCAUUUAUCUUAAAGGGCCUUCCUCUUUUUCACUUCAACAUUGUUUCAUCCACAACUCUCGGCUCAGAACGAGGUUGCGAAUCAUUCACCAUUGCUUCAUCAGAGCAGCAUCUUCAGCCAAGGUCUUGGAAAUCCUAUACCAAAUCAGUACGGACUGUACCAGCAAGGAGAUCACAUAAAUCAAUUACAGAGUAUAUAUAAUAGAAAACAAAGGACUAAAGACCAUCACAUAAAGGCCUCCAAAAGCUAAUGUAGUUGCAAAAGGGAGGAAGUAACACAUUAAAAACACUCUAGAAAAGAUAUAAACUGCCUCAGGGCAGUUAAUCAUCUCAUGAGCAAAUCCCAGAAAUCUUUUAGGGAGCAGAUAUAGUAAGCAAGAGCACUCUAAACGCAUAAAAAUACUAGUUUAGCUUCUAUAUCCUACUCCUUCAAUAAUGUACCACAUAAUUUUCCUGGAAUAAGUGUUAUGUUUUACGACAGAUAAUAGACGUACCAUAAUUGAUUCCUUGCACAA